GGCGGUGUAGCUCAGUUGGCCAGAGCAGCGGACUCAUAAGCCGUUGGUCGGGGGUUCGAAUCCCUCCACCGCUA
rnacentral:tRNA from 1 species